rnacentral:rRNA from 1 species
AAUGAACGCUGGCGGCAGGCUUAACACAUGCAAGUCGAACGAGUGGCGGACGGGUGAGUAAUGCUUGGGAAUCUAGCUUAUGGAGGGGGAUAAAUACGGGAAACUGUGGCUACUACCGCUAACAAUAGGAUGAGACUAUGUGGGAUAGGGUAGUUGGUGAGGAAAAGGCUAACCAAGCCGACGAUCUCUCGCUGGUCUGAGAGGAGGACCGGCCACACUGCGACUGAGACACGGCCCAGACUCCUACGGUAGUCAGCAGUGGGGAUUCUUUGACAAUGGGCGCAAGCCGUAUGAAUCCAUGCCGCGUGUAUGAAGAAGGCCUUAGGGUUGUAAAGUACUUUCAGUGGAGAGGCGUUACCCGAAGAAGAAGCAACGGCUAACUCCGUGCCAGCAGCCGCGGUAAUUC